rnacentral:tRNA from 1 species
GGUCCUGUGGUGUAGCGGUUAACAUGCCUGCCUGUCACGCAGGAGAUCGCGGGUUCAAUUCCCGUCAGGACCG